rnacentral:rRNA from 1 species
AACGAACGCUGGCGGCAUGCCUAACACAUGCAAGUCGAACGAGAUCUUCGGGUCUAGUGGCGCACGGGUGCGUAACGCGUGGGAAUCUGUCCUUUGGUUCGGAAUAACAGUUAGAAACGACUGCUAAUACCGGAUGAUGACGAAAGUCCAAAGAUUUAUCGCCAGAGGAUGAGCCCGCGUAGGAUUAGCUAGUUGGUGUGGUAAAGGCGCACCAAGGCGACGAUCCUUAGCUGGUCUGAGAGGAUGAUCAGCCACACUGGGACUGAGACACGGCCCAGACUCCUACGGGAGGCAGCAGUGGGGAAUAUUGGACAAUGGGCGAAAGCCUGAUCCAGCAAUGCCGCGUGAGUGAUGAAGGCCUUAGGGUUGUAGAGCUCUUUUACCCGGGAUGAUAAUGACAGUACCGGGAGAAUAAGCUCCGGCUAACUCCGUGCCAGCCGCCGCGGUAA